CAGAGAAUAGUUUAUAAAAAUAUUAAUUUUGGAGAUUAAAGAUAAAAGUAAUUUUUUCUCUGA
rnacentral:tRNA from 1 species